rnacentral:rRNA from 1 species
ACGGGUGAGUAACGCGUAGGUAACCUGCCUGGUAGCGGGGGAUAACUAUUGGAAACGAUAGCUAAUACCGCAUAAAAUUGAUUAUUGCAUGAUAAUUAAUUGAAAGAUGCAAUUGCAUCACUACCAGAUGGACCUGCGUUGUAUUAGCUAGUUGGUGAGGUAACGGCUCACCAAGGCGACGAUACAUAGCCGACCUGAGAGGGUGAUCGGCCACACUGGGACUGAGACACGGCCCAGACUCCUACGGGAGGCAGCAGUAGGGAAUCUUCGGCAAUGGGGGGAACCCUGACCGAGCAACGCCGCGUGAGUGAAGAAGGUUUUCGGAUCGUAAAGCUCUGUUGUAAGAGAAGAACGGGUGUGAGAGUGGAAAGUUCACACUGUGACGGUAUCUUACCAGAAAGGGACGGCUAACUACGUGCCAGCAGCCGCGGUAAUACGUAGGUCCCGAGCGUUGUCCGGAUUUAUUGGGCGUAAAGCGAGCGCAGGCGGUUAGAUAAGUCUGAAGUUAAAGGCUGUGGCUUAACCAUAGUAUGCUUUGGAAACUGUUUAACUUGAGUGCAGAAGGGGAGAGUGGAAUUCC